rnacentral:rRNA from 1 species
UACAGAGGGGGCAAGCGUUGUUCGGAAUUACUGGCGUAAAGGGCGCGUAGGCGGCUUGUAUAGUCGGAUGUGAAAUUCCUGGGCUUAACCUGGGGGCUGCAUACGAGACGUAUGGGCUUGAGUGCGGAAGAGGGUCGUGGAAUUCCCAGUGGUAGAGGUGAAAUUCGUAGAUAUUGGGAAGAACACCGGUGGCGAAGGCGGCGACCUGGUCCGUGACUGACGCUGAGGCGCGAAAGCCAGGGGAGCGAACGGG